rnacentral:tRNA from 1 species
GGCUCGGUAGCUUAGUUGGUAAAGCGCUCGUCUAGCAUACAAGAGUCCUGGGUUCAAAUCCUAGCCGACACG